AGCAGUUCUCAGUUGACGCACCCCAGAAUCAGGCUCCCUCCUCUCUUGUUCUGGGUUCAUCACCUGAGAACCACA
rfam:Myotis davidii contig183927, whole genome shotgun sequence.